GGAGGMMACUNUGAUGCAGCGAUGCCGCGUGAGUGAAGMAGKCCUUUGGGUUGUAAAGCUCUUUCGUCGGGGAAGAAAAUGACUGUACCCGAAUAAGAAGGUCCGGCUAACUUCGUGCCAGCAGCCGCGGUAAUACGAAGGGACCUAGCGUWRUUCGGAAUUACUGGGCUUAAAGAGUUCGUAGGUGGUUGAAAAAGUUAGUGGUGAAAUCCCAUAGCUUAACUCUGGAACUGCCAUWAAAACUUUUCAKCUAGAGUAUGAUAGAGGAAAGCAGAAUUUCUAGUGUAGAGGUGAAAUUCGUAGAUAUUAGAAAGAAUACCAAUUGCGAAGGCAGCUUUCUGGAUCAUUACUGACACUGAGGAACGAAAGCAUGGGUAGCSAAGAGGAUUAGAYACCCUCGUASUCCAUGCCGUMAACGAUGUGUGUUAGACGUUGGAAAUUUAUUUUCAGUGUCGCAGCGAAAGCGAUAAACACACCGCCUG
rnacentral:rRNA from 1 species